rnacentral:rRNA from 1 species
GACGAACGCUGGCGGCGUGCCUAAUACAUGCCAGUAGAACGCACAGUUUAUACCGUAGCUUGCUACACCAUAGACUGUGAGUUGCGAACGGGUGAGUAACGCGUAGGUAACCUGCCUGGUAGCGGGGGAUAACUAUUGGAAACGAUAGCUAAUACCGCAUAAUAUUGAUUAUUGCAUGAUAAUUGAUUGAAAGAUGCUAUUGCAUCACUACCAGAUGGACCUGCGUUGUAUUAGCUAGUAGGUGAGGUAACGGCUCACCUAGGCGACGAUACAUAGCCGACCUGAGAGGGUGAUCGGCCACACUGGGACUGAGACACGGCCCAGACUCCUACGGGGGGCAGCAGUAGGGAAUCUUCGGCAAUGGACGAAAGUCUGACCGAGCAACGCCGCGUGAGUGAAGAAGGGUUUCGGAUCGUAAAGCUCUGUUGUAAGAGAAGAACGGGUGUGAGAGUGGAAAGUUCACACUGUGACGGUAUCUUAACAGAAAGGGACGGCUAACUACGUG